UACAGAGGGUGCAAACGUUGCUCGGAAUUAUUGGGCGUAAAGCGCACGUAGGCGGUCUGUUAAGUUAGAUGUGAAAGCCCUGGGCUCAACCCAGGAAGUGCAUUUAAAACUGGCAGGCUUGAGUAUGGAAGAGGGUCGCGGAAUUCCCGGUGUAGAGGUGAAAUUCGUAGAUAUUCGCAAGAACACCAGUGGCGAAGGCGGCUCACUGGCCCGAUACUGACGCUGAGGCACGAAAGCGUGGGGAGCAAACAGG
rnacentral:rRNA from 1 species